GUAUAUAACGGACACACAAGAAUGAACGAGAUGAGAUGUAUGGUGAUGUGGA
rnacentral:guide_RNA from 1 species